rnacentral:rRNA from 1 species
UACGUAGGGUGCAAGCGUUGUCCGGAAUUAUUGGGCGUAAAGAGCUCGUAGGCGGUCUGUCGCGUCGGCUGUGAAAACCCGGAGCUCAACUCCGGGCCUGCAGUCGAUACGGGCAGACUGGAGUUCGGCAGGGGAGACUGGAAUUCCAGCGUGGUAGCAGUGAAAUGCGUAGAGAUGUGGAGGAACACCGAGUGGCGAAGGCAGCCCCCUGGGCUGAGAUUGACGCUCAGGCACGAAAGCGUGGGGAGCAAA